rnacentral:tRNA from 1 species
ACCGAAAUAGCUCAGUUGGGAGAGCGUUAGACUAUAGAUACAAAGUCCCUGGUUCGAUCCUGGUUUACCGCA